UCGGUAAUUCCAGCUCCNAUAGCGUAUAUUUAAGUUGUUGCAGUUAAAAAGCUCGUAGUUGGAUUUCGGGUGGGUUCUAGCGGUCCGCCUAUGGUGAGUACUGCUAUGGCCCUCCUUUCUGCCGGGGACGGGCUCCUGGGCUUCACUGUCCGGGACUCGGAGUCGGCGUUGUUACUUUGAGUAAAUUAGAGUGUUCAAAGCAGGCAUACGCCCUGAAUACUUUAGCAUGGAAUAACACGAUAGGACUCUGGCCUAUCUUGUUGGUCUGUAGGACCGGAGUAAUGAUUAAGAGGGACAGUCGGGGGCAUUCGUAUUUCAUUGUCAGAGGUGAAAUUCUUGGAUUUAUGAAAGACGAACUACUGCGAAAGCAUUUGCCAAGGAUGUUUUCAUUAAUCAAGAACGAAAGUUGGGGGCUCGAAGACGAUUAGAUACCGUCGUAGUCUCAACCAUAAACGAUGCCGACUAGGGAUUGGCGGAUGUUUUUUUGAUGACUCCGCCAGCACCUUAUGAGAAAUCAAAGUUUUUGGGUUCCGGGGGGAGUAUGGUCGCAAGGCUGAAACUUAAAGAAAUUGACGGACCAC
rnacentral:rRNA from 1 species